UUUUUUUUUUUUUUUUUGUCUUUUUAGGGCUGCACUGGUGGCAUAUGGAAGUUCCCAGAUUAGGGGUUGAAUAGGAGCUGCAGCUGCUGGCCUAGGCCACAGCCACAGCAACGUGGGAUCCGAGCCACAUCUGUGACCUACACCUCAGAUUCUCCCACCCACUGAGCAAGGCCAGGGAUCGAAUCUGCAUUCUCAUGUAUACUAGUCAGAUUCAUUUCCGCUGAGCUACAAUGGGAACUCUGAGGAAGUAGAUUUUUAAAACAGAAAUAUCAAUAAAAUAAUUGUUUAAAAUAUGACUCCAAGAAAAGGGAACUUCCCUACACUACUGGUAGGAAUGUAACAUGAUGCAGCCUCUAUGGAAACCAGGAUGGAGGUACCUCAGAAAACUAAAAAUAGAGUUGGCUUAUGAACCAGCAAUCCCACUCCUGGGCAUAUACUCAGACAAAACUUUAAUUCCAAAAGAUACAUGCACCCCUAUGUUCCUACCAGCACUACUGACAAAUAGCCAAGACCUGGAACCAACAUAAAUGUCCACUGACAGAUGAUUGGAUAAAGAAGGUGUGGCAUGUACAUACGAUGGAUAUGAGCCAUAAAAAGAAUGAAGUACUGCCAUGUGCAGCAAUGUGGACAGACCUAGAGAUUAUCAUGCUAAAUGACGUACGUCAGAAAGAGAAGGACAAACAUCCUAGGAUAUCACUUAUAUGUGGAAUCUAAAAUAUAACACAAAUGAGCUUAUCGACAAAACAGAAACAGACAGAUACAGAGAACAAACAUCUUGUUGCCAAGGAAGGAGUGGGAUAGGGAAUGACUGGGAGUUUGGGAUGAGCAGAUGCAAAGUUUUUUGUUUGUUUGUUUGUUUUUUUGUCUUUUUGCCUUUUCUAGGCCCACUCCCGAGGCAUAUGGAGGUUCCCAGCUCCAAUUGGACACCUAGGGNGACUCUUCUCUCAAUUCACAACAUUUCUGUCCACCCACAAUUUUGUAGGAACCUAAGUCAAACUGGACUUUUCCCUUUGUAGGGUGAUGGUGGUCUCACUGAGAAAGCUCUACAUGCAGUCAAGUAGGCUGGGCUCUCUAGUCACAGUUCUAAUUUAUUAGGUGUGUGUUCAGGGAAGAACAUGGACUUGGGAAUCGGAUCCGAGUUCCAAUAUGAGUUCUGCCACUGUCGCUACAAGGAGACCUUGAUCACUUUUGUUGAUGCCUCUGAGCCUGAGGUUCUUAUUUGAAAAAUGAAGGCACGCUAGUAACACCAUUGCUGCAUCUCAUCUUCAUUGGAUUACAGGCAAUUUUUAACGUAUCGUUCCUGUCCUUCAUUUGAUUUGAUUAUCGAAGUACGGUUAUUGAAUAACUGCUACAUUUUCACCAAACAUUCCUACUUUCAAAGAGCCAGCAAGCUAAGAAACAUAGGCUCGGGAGUCAGAGGACCAAGUGUUAACUUCUAGCUCAGCCACGUCCUAGCUGUGUGACCUUGAGUGAGUGACUUAAACUUCUUAAAGCCUUGACUUUCCCAUUCAAAAAUAGCAAAGAGGAGUUCCCGUCGUGGCGGAGUGGUUAAUGAAUCCGACUAGGAACCAUGAGGUUGCGGGUUCGAUCCCUGCCCUUGCUCAGUGGGUUAAGGAUCCGGCAUUGCCGUGAGCUGUGGGGUAGGUUGCAGAUGCGGCUCGGAUCCCGCGUUGCUGUGGCUCUGGCGUAGGCCGGUGGCUACAGCUCCGAUUCAACCCCUAGCCUGGGAACUUCCAUAUGCCGCGGGAGCGGCCCAAGAAAUAGCAACAACAACAAGAACAACAACAACAAAAAACAAAAAUAGCAAGUAAUAAGAAACAGUUUGGCGCUUUCCCAGGAACCUAAAAGUAGAACUAUCAUAUGACCACAUGACACAGCACUUGCUCUUCUGGGCAUAUAUCCAUAAAACCCCCCCAAAACAAAAACACAAAUUCAAAAAGAUACAUGCACCCCUAUGUUCUCAGGAGCACGACUGACAAUAGCCAAGUCAUGGAAGCAACCUAAGAGUCCAUUAACAAAUGAAUGGAUAAAGAAAAUGUGAUACACACACACACACACACACANAAAAAAAUCUGCCAUUUGAAACAACACGGAUGGACUUGGAGGGCAUUAUGCUAAGUGAGUAAAGUCAGAAGAGAAAGACAAAUCCUAUUUGAUCUCACUUCUAUGUGGAAUCUAAAAAUGUAACAAACUAGUGAAUAAAACCAAACAGAAACAGGCUCACAGACACAGAGAACACUCUAGGGAGAGAGGAAAGGCAGGGGAGAGAGGGAAGGUGGGGGGGAACAGACGGUUGGAGAGAAAAAGGUUAUCACCGAAUUCUAUGAAAUCAUGCAUGUGAAACUUCUGAAAACUGUAAAGCACUACAGAAUUUAAAGACUCCUUCAUUCAACUAAAAAAUAAAAAACAAUGUGCUAAGCUAAACGUGACUAUCCAGACACAUCCACUAUAAAAUGAGCCUACUGUACACAGAUCAAAGGCUAGUAAUUCUCUUACACUUUUUACCCUUGUCCAUAAAGAUGUCUUUCCCACAAGCGAACAAAACCAAAAACAGCAGUUAAGGGAGUUCCCUCUUGGCGCAGGGAGCUAAGGAUCCGGUGUUUUCCUUGCAGCGGCUGGGGUCACUACUGCGGUGUGGGUUCAAUCCCUGGGCCAGGAAUGUCUGCUGCUGUGGGCAUGGCCAAACCCACACAAACAAGCAAGCAAACAAAACAGCAGGUAGUGAUAACAGUACUAACGUCACACACGCUUCGAAGGUUCAACGAAACGUUCCCGGCAGAUCGCUUAGCACAAUGCCGGCACUUAGCACCCCACGUGUGUCAGCUGUGACUACCUGAUUAAUGACAAAUCAAGAUCAUACCUGCUACAGGGGCUUACAAAGGUCCGAUCCUUGCUGCUGUUCAGAAGUAGAGGUGGGGAUUUUAUCCCCAGUCUGUCUGACUUAUGAUAAUGAACAAGAUGCAGGGAGCUCACGUAUCUGGGAGAAACAGACAAGAGACUGGACUUUACAAGACAGGGUGCCCUUGAGCUGACAGGAAAAAUACACAGGGCUCAGGGAGCACCAGUGGGGAGGGACUGGAAAGUGAACAAACGUGGGACUUUUUAGAAGACAGGAAUAUAGGUAACAGAAAUGCUGACAUCACCUCACAUUUGACCGUUUCUGAAAACCAAAAUUUCCAGAGAUGUCCAGCAGCUUAGGACAUUGGAGGAGCAAAAAUUCAGGCUGCAGGCAUAUGAAUGCCCCCAAAAGAAGGACUGAAAUGAGUGGAUCGAGUACAGGCAGAGUUAUGUCAGAGGUUUGAUAAAGAGUCCCCUGCCAAGCUGUUCACACAAGGGGCACAACUUUCUCUUCUACAACUAAGGAAAAGUCUUCAAAUACAACAGCAAAUGGGCCGGAGGCAUUGUGAGGCAUGAAUGACUGAC
rnacentral:lncRNA from 1 species